GAGAGUGAAACUUAAUUCAAAGAUAUUUCCAACCAUAGGUCGCACGUUCCAAAUGGAGAUCGGGAAGGCCUCCUAAAGCCCCCCGAAACAGUGCCCUCCUGGCGGGCCAAGAAAGUCCGAAAAUUUUUCUAAGUGUUGAGACUGGUUGGUCACGAGUGAGGGAAAGCCAGUGUUUUUCUGAAAAAUUUGAGAGAUAAUUGAGGAAAAUAUUGACCUUUACCCCAAACUAGAAUACAUAUAUUUUGGCGUGGUUCAAUUUUUCCAACAGAAGACGUCUUGAAGUCUAAUGUUAGAGGUCAACGAAAACCUUCGUUGUCGGUUAUUUUUUUUUUGCAGAUCUCAUUUCCAGUUGAAGAAGCCAACUUCCACAGGCCCCCGAAGAUAAUUUUUUCGGUUUCAUCGGCCAAGAACCACUU
rnacentral:lncRNA from 1 species